GCUUGCUUCCGUUCGGUUAGCGGCGGACGGGUGAGUAACACGUGGGCAACCUGCCCGUAAGACCGGGAUAACUUCGGGAAACCGGAGCUAAUACCGGAUAACACCGAAGACCGCAUGGUCUUCGGUUGAAAGGCGGCUUUGGCUGUCACUUACGGAUGGGCCCGCGGCGCAUUAGCUAGUUGGUGAGGUAACGGCUCACCAAGGCGACGAUGCGUAGCCGACCUGAGAGGGUGAUCGGCCACACUGGGACUGAGACACGGCCCAGACUCCUACGGGAGGCAGCAGUAGGGAAUCUUCCGCAAUGGACGAAAGUCUGACGGAGCAACGCCGCGUGAGCGAAGAAGGUCUUCGGAUUGUAAAGCUCUGUUGUUAGGGAAGAACAAGUACCGUUCGAAUAGGGCGGUACCGUGACGGUACCUA
rnacentral:rRNA from 1 species